rnacentral:lncRNA from 1 species
UUUCUCAUUUGAAAUUUCAUAAAUAAAAAGAAAAUUUCUUCAAAUUUUUUUUUGAGAGGAUUAAUAUUCAACAGCAUAGUGAAUUGCUCUAAGAGAAAACAAAAAAAUUAAGUUCAUUAGAACACAUUCAUUCUGUGUCAGAAACCUAUGCUGUGUCAACUAUUUAAUCACAAUCCAAAUUUAGAGCUGAAUCCAGCUUGAAUGUUGUGUCCAUACUUGCCCCAACCAUUUAGGGUUCAACCUCUGCGGUCGUAUAAAGCUACGCCCUGCGGAGCAUCUGGUGUACGAUUGGUUAGAUCCAAAGCAAGGGUUCGUAUGAGCCUUUUGUAAGAUUGGUUAGAUCCAAAGCAAGGAUUCGUGUGAGCCUUUUGUACGAUUAGUUAGAUACAAAGCAAGGGUUCGUAUGAGCCUUUUGUAAGAUUGGUUAGAUCCAAAGCAAGGGUUCGUGUGAGCCUUUUGUAAGAUUGGUU